GAUGAACGCUGGCGGCGUGCUUAACACAUGCAAGUCGAACGGGAUCCAUCAGGCUUUGCUUGGUGGUGAGAGUGGCGAACGGGUGAGUAAUGCGUGACCGACCUGCCCCAUACACCGGAAUAGCUCCUGGAAACGGGUGGUAAUGCCGGAUGCUCCAGUUGAUCGCAUGGUCUUCUGGGAAAGCUUUCGCGGUAUGGGAUGGGGUCGCGUCCUAUCAGCUUGACGGCGGGGUAACGGCCCACCGUGGCUUCGACGGGUAGCCGGCCUGAGAGGGCGACCGGCCACAUUGGGACUGAGAUACGGCCCAGACUCCUACGGGAGGCAGCAGUGGGGAAUAUUGCACAAUGGGCGCAAGCCUGAUGCAGCGACGCCGCGUGAGGGAUGGAGGCCUUCGGGUUGUAAACCUCUUUUAUCGGGGAGCAAGCGA
rnacentral:rRNA from 1 species